rnacentral:rRNA from 1 species
CUGAUGCAGCGACGCCGCGUGAACGAUGAAGGCUUUCGAGUCGUAAAGUUCUGUUCUUGGGGAAGAUAACGACGGUACCCAAGGAGAAAGCACCGGCUAAGUACGUGCCAGCAGCCGCGGUAAUACGUAUGGUGCAAGCGUUGUCCGGAAUUACUGGGCGUAAAGAGUUCGUAGGCGGUUAGAUUAGUCAGAAGUGAAAGGCUACGGCUCAACCGUAGUAAGCUUUUGAAACUGUCUAACUUGAGUACUGGAGAGGAAAGCGGAAUUCCUAGUGUAGCGGUGAAAUGCAUAGAUAUUAGGAAGAACACCAGUGGCGAAGGCGGCUUUCUGGACAGUAACUGACGCUGAGGAACGAAAGCGUGGGGAGCGAACAGGAUUAGAUACCCUGGUAGUCCGCGCCGUAAACGAUGAGAACUAGGUGUUGGGGGUCGAACCUCAGUGCCGCAGCUAACGCAGUAAGUUCUCCGCCUGGGAG